rnacentral:rRNA from 1 species
CAAUAGCGUAUAUUAAAGUUGUUGCAGUUAAAAAGCUCGUAGUUGGAUUUUGAGUUUGGUAAAAUCGGUCUGCUUUUUGCAGUACUGACUUGCCUGCUCUUCUUCUCGAGGCCUAUGGAUGUACUUAACCGUAUGUUCAUAGUGUUCGGGACUUUUACCGUGAGAAAAUUAGAGUGUUCAUAGCAGGCUUUUGCUUGAAUAUUGCAGCAUGGAAUAAUGGAAUAGGAUCAUGAUCUUAUUUUGUUGGUUUCUAAGAUCAAGAUAAUGAUUAAUAGGGAUAGUUGGGGGCAUUAAUAUUUAGUUGUCAGAGGUGGAAUUCUUAGAUUUACAAAAGAUUAACUUCUGCGAAAGCAUUUGCCAAGGGUGUUUUCGUUAA